rnacentral:lncRNA from 1 species
AUGAUUGAAAGGACGGCUUUUACCCCAACAUCUCCUCACAACAAGGCAGAUUCGAACGAUCCAAAGAGAAACUCCCAGGAAACAAACUAUGAGAAAGGUCCAAAAAUGAAGGAAACAACCUUUCCUGAAUCCACUGCAGCAACACUGUUAACCUUUCAGGGCUUCCACAGAGUAAGCACCUUAAGCUCCAGCGUCCACCAUCCAAGAACAUCAACUCAAGUUCCAAAAACUUCAUGGACAUUCAGGAACCAAAACAAGACAAAAGGACUCUAUGGGACAAACCCAACUGGUUCCCAGACGGCUGAAACAGAAGCAAGUUCUCAUUCAUCAUUUUUACACAAACCUCAUUCUUCAGUCUCAGCUCCAACUCCGGCCAACCGCCAGCCAACCGUUAGAACUUUACAUCAGCUUGAGACCAGCCCAACUGAACCCAAAAGUAGCUCAGAGAGAGCUAGUUGGCUCAAAACUAAAACAAUACCGAACACCUCAACUCAACCACGGUCUAGUUCCCCAAUCCAAACUCAGUCCUUCGUGACCUUUUACCCUCUUUAUCCUCCAAUCUUUACUCUGGACAAAGAUCUUGGGUCUCAAUCGAAGGUUAAAAGCUCAGAUGACCUCCAUUCAUCUCCCUCUUCCUUUCUACACACUUCUGUCCUUCAGUCAACAGAAACGAUGCAUUUACCUGCCUCUGGAAGUCCUACUCUGGUGUCCACACCUCCAUCUGUCAGACCAACACUGACCAUCCAUUUCUCCUCUUUAAAGAGCCAACCUGAAACUGUUCCAGCUCUUUCUGCCUUACCCAUUCCUUCCCCAGUCUCCUCGCUUGAUUUACCUCUAACCCAGCUUCCCUCCACCCCUCCACCACCAUCGUUCUACACAUCUCCAACUCCUCCUUUAAGCUCUCAAAACAGUCCAGCAACUGUAACAGUUAAAUCUGCAUUUACAGAUCCUGUCUGCUCCUCAUCUCUCAAAAGUCCCAACUCUUCCUCUCCCUCUGUUCCACCAUCAGCUACUCCCAGAUCGAUUACUUCCUCUGUUCCUCCACCUUCACGUUUAUCCAUUCCUCCAUCAACAUCCUCCUCCUCUAAAGAGCGUUUGUCUUUCACCUCCGUCACCCUGGCAGCUUCAGGGCUCAACCCAGCCACGUUAGGCACGAUUGUUCAUCCAAACCCCAAACCUUUUCCUAACCAUCGACUCAAUCAUGGCCACGACCUUCUGCCAGACGUUCCAAUCAUCAAUUCCAAACCCAAGCGUCCGUCCAAACCUCAGACCCCCGGUGAGGACGGGAAGUAUCCAGACAUCGUCCCGAAGCACACGGCCUGGGAGCUGGGCGUUCUGCUGGGAGGCUCGGCCGGUUUCGGUAUGGUGCUGGUGCUUGCCGUAAGGUGUUUGUACCGCCAGGCCUGCGGUAGACGGACCGAGGUCACGCUGAACGACAGGGAACGAGAAUACGGCCGAGGGGAGAUAGGCCUGAUCCAGGUCCAGGAAUGUGGGGAUUUGGUAAGAGUCCGGAAAAUCAGGGAGAACAGUUUUGUGUUUUUGACAGAGUACGACGUUCUUGCAACCUCUGGAAACUGA